rnacentral:rRNA from 1 species
GCAUGAUGCAGUGUGAAAAACUCCGGUGGUAUAAGAUGGACCCGCGUUGGAUUAGCUAGUUGGUGAGGUAACGGCCCACCAAGGCGACGACCCAUAGCCGACCUGAGAGGGUGACCGGCCACAUUGGGACUGAGACACGGCCCAAACUCCUACGGGAGGCAGCAGUGGGGAAUAUUGCACAAUGGGCGAAAGCCUGAUGCAGCGACGCCGCGUGAGCGAAGAAGUAUUUCGGUAUGUAAAGCUCUAUCAGCAGGGAAGAUAAUGACGGUACCUGACUAAGAAGCACCGGCCAAAUACGUGCCAGCAGCCGCGGUAAUACGUAUGGUGCAAGCGUUAUCCGGAUUUACUGGGUGUAAAGGGAGCGCAGGCGGUGCGGCAAGUCUGAUGUGAAAGCCCGGGGCUCAACCCCGGUACUGCAUUGGAAACUGUCGUACUAGAGUGUCGGAGGGGUAAGCGGAAUUCCUAGUGUAGCGGUGAAAUGCGUAGAUAUUAGGAGGAACACCAGUGGCGAAGGCGGCUUACUGGACGAUAACUGACGCUGAGGCUCGAAAGCGUGGGGAGCAAACAGGAUUAGAUACCCUGGUAGUCCACGCCGUGAACGAUGAAUACUAGGUGUUGGGAAGCAUUGCUUCUCGGUGCCG